CGCUAUAGCUUGGACUAGCUUAGACUUGGAGGACCAUCGACCGUCAUCACCCCUUUUCUCACCAUCUCCUCUCAUCUUGCAGCUGCAGUCGUGAGGCUACAACUAUGAGACCAACAAAGGGCGAGCUGCACGUGGACUUCAAGAUGGCGGAAAUUCGUAGCAGACGACGCGGUUCUCUUCACCCGAUACAGAGGGAGCACUACGUGUUGUGCAGCGCUGUAAGGAUGUUGCAAGGUGCGCACGCUUGCCGAGUGAAGGAAGCUGACUGUGCUAACAUUGUUGCAAGCAAU